rnacentral:rRNA from 1 species
UACGUAGGUGGCUAGCGUUGUCCGGAUUUACUGGGCGUAAAGAGCGCGCAGGCGGUCGUUCAAGUCGAGUGUGAAAGCCCCCGGCUCAACUGGGGAGGGUCACUCGAUACUGAUCGACUUGAAGGCGGGAGAGGGAAGCGGAAUUCCCGGUGUAGUGGUGAAAUGCGUAGAUAUCGGGAGGAACACCAGUGGCGAAGGCGGUUCUCUGGGCCUUACCUGACGCUGAGGAGCGAAAGGCGUGGGGAGCAAACAGG